CACGUAGGGUGCGAGCGUUGUCCGGAAUUAUUGGGCGUAAAGAGCUCGUAGGCGGUUUGUCGCGUCUGCUGUGAAAACCCGAGGCUCAACCUCGGGCCUGCAGUGGGUACGGGCAGACUAGAGUGCGGGUAGGGGAGAUUGGAAUUCCUGGUGUAGCGGUGAAAUGCGCAGAUAUCAGGAGGAACACCGGUGGCGAAGGCGGGUCUCUGGGCCGAUACUGACGCUGAGGAGCGAAAGCUGGGGAGCGAACAGG
rnacentral:rRNA from 1 species